CCAGACUCCUACGGGAGGCAGCAGUGGGGAAUAUUGGGCAAUGGGCGCAAGCCUGACCCAGCAACGCCGCGUGAAGGAAGAAGGCUCUCGGGUUGUAAACUUCUUUUAUCAGGGACGAAGCAAGUGACGGUACCUGAUGAAUAAGCCACGGCUAACUACGUGCCAGCAGCCGCGGUAAUACGUAGGUGGCAAGCGUUAUCCGGAUUUACUGGGUGUAAAGGGCGUGUAGGCGGGAAAGCAAGUCAGAUGUGAAAUCCGGGGGCUCAACCCCGAACUGCAUUUGAAACUGUUGGUCUUGAGUAUCGGAGAGGCAGGCGGAAUUCCUAGUGUAGCGGUGAAAUGCGUAGAUAUUAGGAGGAACACCAGUGGCGAAGGCGGCCUGCUGGACGACAACUGACGGUGAGGCGCGAAAGCGUGGGGAGCAAACAGGAUUAGAUACCCUCGUACAA
rnacentral:rRNA from 1 species